UACGUAGGCAGCAAGCGUUGUUCGGAGUUACUGGGCGUAAAGGGUGUGUAGGCGGUUCUCUAAGCCUGGUGUGAAAUCUCCCGGCUCAACUGGGAGGGUGCGCCGGAAACUGGAGAGCUAGAGUACUGGAUGGGAGAGUGGAAUUCCUGGUGUAGCGGUGAAAUGCGUAGAUAUCAGGAGGAACACCUGUGGUGUAGACGGCUCUCUGGACAGUAACUGACGCUGAGACACGAAAGCGUGGGUAGCAAACAGG
rnacentral:rRNA from 1 species